rnacentral:rRNA from 1 species
UACGGGGGGGGCAAGCGUUGUUCGGAAUUACUGGGCGUAAAGGGCUCGUAGGCGGCCAACUAAGUCGGACGUGAAAUUCCCAGGCUCAACCUGGGAACUGCGUCUGAUACUGGAUGGCUUGAAUCCGGGAGAGGGAUGCAGAAUUCCAGGUGUAGCGGUGAAAUGCGUAGAUAUCUGGAGGAAUACCGGUGGCGAAGGCGGCAUCCUGGACCGACAUUGACGCUGAACGACGAAAGCUAGGGGAGCAAACGGG